UACGUAGGGGGCAAGCGUUGUCCGGAUUCAUUGGGCGUAAAGAGCGUGUAGGCGGCCUGGAAGGUCAGCUGUGAAAACUCGAGGCUCAACCUCGAGACGUCGGUUGAAACCACCUGGCUAGAGUCCGGAAGAGGAGUGUGGAAUUCCCGGUGUAGCGGUGGAAUGCGCAGAUAUCAGGAGGAACACCGAUGGCGAAGGCAGGUCUCUGGGCCGAUACUGACGCUGAGGAGCGAAAGCGUGGGGAGCGAACAGG
rnacentral:rRNA from 1 species